UGGGAAGAAUUUGGGAAUUAGUGUGACGGGUAGUCCGUAGUUCAAUGUGUGACCGUUGUGUGUGAUUGGGAGUGAACCCGUGAAUGAUGAUAAUAAAGUAACUGAUUUUUGUAGUUAGACGAGUGUUGUAUCGUUUUGUGCAUACCUGUAGCCUUGUCACGUCAAAUUUAAUUCCAUAUAUUAAUGCAACGAUGUACCAGUUGCAUUUUUCGUGUUUUUUUAAUCAAUGUACCUGUCAGUCAAUUAAUUGUCACCAUUGUCAAACUGACCCAAUUGCAACGCUCUGGACUACCAUGGAUCUGUUCUCGCGGUUCGGUGUCCUAAAAGAACCGGCGGGUUUAGAAGAUCAAAAGAGAUCGAUCAGACUUGUCAACUGCCUGUCACUCAACUUUCAUUGUGGUUCACAACCAUUGAUCAAUUAAAAAGCAGACACGCGGGGACAUCCGUAGGCCUAGCAAUUUCUAUUUACAACUGAAAUGCUUGGUAUAACCAUGGAGGUAUAACACAUAACACAUCAGGGUUUUAUUUUACAAAAUAUAAUUUGGAGACAUAAUAAUUAGGACUAAAAAUUAUCGGACCAAAGCUAAAAAUUAAUUUUCGGACCCAAGAAAAAAAAAUAUUUUCAGGGCAACCUCGCAUUUCCGGUGAAAUUAUAUAAAAUUAUGAUUUUAACAAAAAAUGAAAAUCAACUCCCCAUUUUUUCUUUUUUUAGAAAAUAUUAUUUGGAUAUAUAAUAAUUAGGACUAAAAAACUAUCUGACCCAAGCAAAAAACUGGCGGACACUGUCCGUACAACUGUAUAAGCAUGCGUGAUGCUAUAUUCCUUUUUUUAUAGUAGCUCCUUUUUAUGCAAUAGACCUCGCAAAUAUCGGUGUUUUCUUGUCAUUUUACUUGUCUAACCAACCAGCAAUUGUACCGCGGCAUACACAGUGCGCGGUGCGGCGGGAACCAAUCAUACUGGUUAUCGCGAAGACAACUUCCCAAUCAAUCAAGCGAACUUGUAAAAA